GACACACAUGGACCACCCGAAGCCGGGCUCGCCGGGGGCCCUCACAGCCCCGUGGCGGCCAGAAUCAGGGAAGCCGCGCCGGGCGUCGAGCUCCUCCCGUAGCCGUCGAGAUGGCUCAGAAGCCACUCGGUCUUCUGGGACCUGGCAUUCUAGCGGUGGAGACAGAUUUUAAAGGACCUGAGCAUCUUCUGGGAGAGCCCCAGCGAUCAAGCCCGCUGACUGGAGGAGCCACCAAAGGGAUUCCCUCAUUAGAAGAGUCUCCACGUUCUGCUUAAUGGAGAGCGAGCAGCACUUUGGUGGAGGUGGAGCAGCCAGGGGGCCAGGGUCCAAGGAGACCCCGAGGUGAGGGCCUCUGUCCAGCCUUGGGUCCACCAGGUAUUCCAAAUAAACACAGAGCUCGAGUGAGAGGAGGGUGCUCACCA